rnacentral:rRNA from 1 species
CCUACGGGAGGCAGCAGUGGGGAAUAUUGCACAAUGGGGGAACCCCUGAUGCAGCGACGCCGCGUGAGUGCAGAAGUAUUUCGGUAUGUAAAGCUCUAUCAGCAGGGAAGAAAAUGACGGUACCUGAUUAAGAAGCCCCGGCUAACUACGUGCCAGCAGCCGCGGGAAUACGUAGGGGGCAAGCGUUAUCCGGAUUUACUGGGUGUAAAGGGAGCGUAGACGGCAGCACAAGUCUGGAGUGAAAUGCCGGGGCUUAACCCCGGAACUGCUUUGGAAACUGUGCAGCUAGAGUGCAGGAGAGGUAAGUGGAAUUCCUAGUGUAGCGGUGAAAUGCGUAGAUAUUAGGAGGAACACCAGUGGCGAAGGCGGCUUACUGGACUGUAACUGACGUUGAGGCUCGAAAGCGUGGGGAGCAAACAGGAUUAGAUACCCCAGUAGUC